UACGUAGGUGGCAAGCGUUGUCCGGAAUUAUUGGGCGUAAAGCGCGCGCAGGCGGUCCUUUAAGUCUGAUGUGAAAGCCCACGGCUCAACCGUGGAGGGUCAUUGGAAACUGGGGGACUUGAGUGCAGGAGAGAAGAGUGGAAUUCCACGUGUAGCGGUGAAAUGCGUAGAGAUGUGGAGGAACACCAGUGGCGAAGGCGACUCUUUGGCCUGUAACUGACCGCUGAGGCGCGACGGCGUGGGGAGCGAACAGG
rnacentral:rRNA from 1 species